CUCGUAGGUGGCUUUGUAAGUCAGGUGUGAAAGCCCACGGCUCAACCGUGGAAUUGCACUUGAUACUGCAUCGCUAGAGUAUAGGAGAGGGAAGUGGAAUUUCUGGUGUAGGAGUGAAAUCCGUAGAGAUCAGAAGGAACACCCGUGGCGAAGGCGACUUCCUGGACUAUUACUGACACUGAGGAGCGAAAGCGUGGGGAGCAAACA
rnacentral:rRNA from 1 species